rnacentral:rRNA from 1 species
UUGGGACUGAGACACGGCCCAAACUCCUACGGGAGGCAGCAGUGGGGAAUAUUGCACAAUGGGGGAAACCCUGAUGCAGCGACGCCGCGUGAGUGAUGAAGUAUUUCGGUAUGUAAAGCUCUAUCAGCAGGGAAGAUAAUGACGGUACCUGACUAAGAAGCACCGGCUAAAUACGUGCCAGCAGCCGCGGUAAUACGUAUGGUGCAAGCGUUAUCCGGAUUUACUGGGUGUAAAGGGUGCGUAGGUGGUGAGACAAGUCUGAAGUGAAAAUCCGGGGCUUAACCCCGGAACUGCUUUGGAAACUGCCUGACUAGAGUACAGGAGAGGUAAGUGGAAUUCCUAGUGUAGCGGUGAAAUGCGUAGAUAUUAGGAGGAACACCA